GCACUGGCUUCUGCAGUGCAUAUACUAAAAUUGGAAUGAUACAGGAAAGAUUAGCAUGGUCUCUGUACAAGGAUAACACACAAAUUCAUGAAGCAUUCCAUAUUUUU